AACGAACGCUGGCGGCAUGCCUAACACAUGCAAGUCGAACGAGACCUUCGGGUCUAGUGGCGCACGGGUGCGUAACGCGUGGGAACCUGCCUUUAGGUUCGGAAUAACUCAGAGAAAUUUGAGCUAAUACCGGAUGAUGUCUUCGGACCAAAGAGUUAUCGCCUUUAGAUGGGCCCGCGUUGGAUUAGCUAGUUGGUGGGGUAAAGGCCUACCAAGGCGACGAUCCAUAGCUGGUCUGAGAGGAUGAUCAGCCCCACUGGGACUGAGACACGGCCCAGACUCCUACGGGAGGCAGCAGUGGGGAAUAUUGGACAAUGGGCGAAAGCCUGAUCCAGCAAUGCCGCGUGAGUGAUGAAGGCCUUAGGGUUGUAAAGCUCUUUUACCCGAGAUGAUAAUGACAGUAUCGGGAGAAUAAGCUCCGGCUAACUACGUG
rnacentral:rRNA from 1 species